rnacentral:rRNA from 1 species
CAGCCGCCGCGGGAAUACGAAGGGGGCUAGCGUUGCUCGGAAUGACUGGGCGUAAAGGGCGCGUAGGCGGAAUGCUUUGUCGGGCGUGAAAUUCCAGGGCUUAACCUUGGGGCUGCGUUCGAGACGGGUAUUCUAGAGUGGAGAAGAGGGUCGUGGAAUUCCCAGUGUAGAGGUGAAAUUCGUAGAUAUUGGGAAGAACACCGGUGUCGAAGGCGGCGACCUGGUCUUUUACUGACGCUGAGGCGCGAAAGCGUGGGGAGCAAACAGGAUUAGAUACCCCCGUAGUCCCUGUCUCUUAUAC